rnacentral:rRNA from 1 species
GACGAACGCUGGCGGCGUGCUUAACACAUGCAAGUCGAACGGAAAGGCCCUGCCUUUGUGGGGUGCUCGAGUGGCGAACGGGUGAGUAACACGUGAGUAACCUGCCCUUGACUUUGGGAUAACUUCAGGAAACUGGGGCUAAUACCGGAUACGAGCUCCUGAUGCAUGGUGGGGGUUGGAAAGUUUAGGUGGUUGGGGAUGGACUCGCGGCUUAUCAGCUAGUUGGUGGGGUAGUGGCUUACCAAGGCUUUGACGGGUAGACGGCUUGAGAGGGUGACCGGGGACAUUGGUACUGAGAGACGGACCAGACUACAACGGGAGGCAGCAGUGGGGAAUAUGGCACAAUGGGCGGAAGCGUAAGGCAGCGGCGCCGCGUGCGUGAUGACGGCCUGCGGGUUAUAAACCGCUGUGGCCUGGGACGAAGCGUGGGUGACGGUAAUGGGUAAAGAAGCACCGGCUAACUACGUG